UACCUACGGGGGGCAGCAGUGGGGAAUAUUGGGCAAUGGACGCAAGUCUGACCCAGCAACGCCGCGUGAAGGAAGAAGGCUUUCGGUAUGUAAAGCUCUAUCAGCAGGGAAGAAAGAAAUGACGGUACCUGACUAAGAAGCCCCGGCUAACUACGUGCCAGCAGCCGCGGUAAUACGUAGGGGGCAAGCGUUAUCCGGAUUUACUGGGUGUAAAGGGAGCGUAGACGGCGAUGCAAGUCUGAAGUGAAAGGAGGGGGCC
rnacentral:rRNA from 1 species